ensembl:lncRNA
GAUUGAUGUCAACACUCUGUGUACCUGCACCGCUGGGAAGGUUACAUGCCAAGCUAACAUCAAAAGUGGAGGGUGUCAGCCAGAUGGUACAAUUGAGAAUGUGUCCUACAACCCAGACAACUGUCAGCCAAGUUCGUGUAGGGGUGAUGCCAGUGAUUGCUCUCCCCAGCCAUGCCCUUCGCAAGACUGCACACAGACAGAGCCUGCACCUGGAGGCUGCCGAAGUUGUAUCCAUUUUGGUGUCCAGUAUGAGAGUGGAGCAGAGUGGAGGCCCUUAGAGAACCCUUGUGAUGUCUGUCACUGUGUGGAAGGUCGCGUUCGCUGUGAGAGGGAGCACUGUGACACCCCUUGUAAAAACCCUACUGCUCCUCCACCCGGUUCCUGCUGUCCA